rnacentral:rRNA from 1 species
GACGAACGCUGGCGGCGUGCCUAAUACAUGCAAGUAGAACGCUGAAGAGAGGAGCUUGCUCUUCUUGGAUGAGUUGCGAACGGGUGAGUAACGCGUAGGUAACCUGCCUUGUAGCGGGGGAUAACUAUUGGAAACGAUAGCUAAUACCGCAUAACAAUGGAUGACACAUGUCAUUUAUUUGAAAGGGGCAAUUGCUCCACUACAAGAUGGACCUGCGUUGUAUUAGCUAGUAGGUGAGGUAACGGCUCACCUAGGCGACGAUACAUAGCCGACCUGAGAGGGUGAUCGGCCACACUGGGACUGAGACACGGCCCAGACUCCUACGGGAGGCAGCAGUAGGGAAUCUUCGGCAAUGGGGGCAACCCUGACCGAGCAACGCCGCGUGAGUGAAGAAGGUUUUCGGAUCGUAAAGCUCUGUUGUAAGUCAAGAACGAGUGUGAGAGUGGAAAGUUCACACUGUGACGGUAGCUUACCAGAAAGGGACGGCUAACUACGUGCCAGCAGCCGCGGUAAUACGUAGGUCCCGAGCGUUGUCCGGAUUUAUUGGGCGUAAAGCGAGCACAGGCGGUUUGAUAAGUCUGAAGUUAAAGGCUGUGGCUCAACCAUAGUUCGCUUUGGAAACUGUCAAACUUGAGUGCAGAAGGGGAGAGUGGAAUUCCAUGUGUAGCGGUGAAAUGCGUAGAUAUAUGGAGGAACACCGGUGGCGAAAGCGGCUCUCUGGUCUGUAACUGACGCUGAGGCUCGAAAGCGUGGGGAGCGAACAGG